rnacentral:rRNA from 1 species
GCAAGUCGAACGAGAAAGUUUCUUCGGAAACAAGUAAAGUGGCGCAAGGGUGAGUAACCCGUGAAUAAUCUGCCCUCAAAACUGGGAUAACUUGACGAAAGUUAAGCUAAUACCGGAUAAGCCCACGUCUCAUGAGAGAUGCGGGAAAAGAAGUCUCAAACUUCAUUUGAGGAUGAGUUCGCGGACCAUUAGCUAGUUGGAGGGAUAAUAGCCCCCCAAGGCUACGAUGGUUAGCCGACCUGAGAGGGUGAUC